GAUAUUCUUGAUUGUCUCACUUUGAUUUUCUGUGUUGUCAAUCUGAUUUUCAGGUGCAAGUGUAACAUCCUCUUUUAUAUCUCUUUUCUCAUCUGCUAAAUCCUUUUCACUCGUAUACUUAAUGAUGUUUUCAGAGGUGAUGUCUGAUUUUUUUGGUUCAGGAUUUGUUUCCUUAACCUCGUCUUCUUCUAUCACUGAUUCAGAUGUGGGUUUGAUUACUUCAAGAUCCUAUUUUGCAACAAAAGAAGAAAAAAUAAAAUUUAGAUAGUAUGAUUGAUAAGGCCUCUUUCUUAGGAUAACAGCUGCAUAAAAGGAAUGGUGAUAGUUCUUUAUUUGUGCACUAACCUCUUUAAUGAAAACUGCAUCACGAGAUGAUAUUGAAAGGUGUUCUGCAACUUGCUUGCUUUCUGUUGUCUGUUUUCAUUAGCGUAAAGUAUAUCAAGUUCAUUAUAAGAGAAAUGCAAGAAAAAGAAUGUGUUAUUCAAAACUCUUGAAAAUCUUCUAACCUCUUCACUUGAAAUUUCAUCAGUUCUAACCUCAGAGACCCCAACAGGUAUUGGAUCUGAAUAUGGUAUCUACGUGAAAAAAUGUCAUGUUAAAACGUAUACUCAUACAGAUAUGAACAUAAUACAAAUCUCAUCUUUCUGUUAAUAGACUCACCACAUGUGCCGUUUCCUUUUGAUCUUCUGAAGAUUUCUCCUGAAGUUCUGUGGAAUGACUAUCUUCCUCAACAAUCUGUUCUUUGAGGUCAUCUGUUUCCUUUUCCUUUGGUAUAUUUAAAGGCACCUGUUCAAUUUAUAUAACAUUCCUGUAAGCAGAUCCCUUUGAUGACUUGAUAGAUAAGAAAGUCUGGUGGUAUUAUUUCUUGCUCACCUCUUCAUUCAAGAUAACAUCCUUUGACAUCUCACUGCAGUCUUCUGUGCUAUUAAGCUGAUUUUCUUGUGUAACAUCCUCUUUCAUAUCUUCUUUUUCAUACAAUGAAUCAUCUGCACCAAUUUUUGUUGUCUGUUCUGUUUUCUGCAUCCAUUAGUGUCAAAAGUAUGUUAAGAAAACACAAAAAGAAAUGCAAUAAAAGGAUGUGUGAACUGUAAAGACAUUGUAAUUCUAUCUGACCUCAUCACUUGAAAUUUCUUUUGUUACAGUUUGUUUCUCUUCAUCCACAUAUGUUGUUGUUGCUGAUGUAAGACGAUCUUCUUUCGGGUUUGAAUCUUCUGACUUGGGCACCAAUUCAGGGAUUUUUACAUCAUAGACAGAUUCAAGAUCUAGUGGCAAAGUUUUAAGGGUUUCUUCUGUUGUAGUUACUAAUGAACUUGAGGGUACAAUAUCUUCUUGAGGUUUGACUUCUGUUGUUUCAUUUGAAUCCUUAGAUUUUUCUUUUGAUGCUUCAUCCAAACCAUCAUUCUGUUGCUCAACAGGUUCAAUCUCCCUUGUUCUUGCAUCUUGAAAGCACUUUUCUUCUUUAGUUGUAGUGUCAUUUGGAUUCUCUAUGCUGUCAUGGGAUAAAUGUUCAUCCUUUUUUGUGAUUUCCUCUUCUUCUAUAGUUUCACUUAUGGUUUCAGUUGGACCUGCCUGUAUCUCCUCAACAAUUUGUCCUUUAGGUUGACCAAGCUCUGACGACACCUGUUUAAAAUAUAUUUUUUUAAAUAAUUUAAUAUAACAAACAACUGAAUAUCGAAGAAGGUUGAGCUAUAUCUGUUAUAAAAUGAAGUCUUUUGAAUAUUCUAUCUGUUAAAAGAUGAUAUCCAACUUUGAAUGAACAAAUGAAAACAUUUUGAUGUUAUAGUUCCCUUUUUCACAUGUCCACUGACCUCAUCGGUUAAUUCCUUUUCAUCUGAUGUUGUUGUCUUUUCAUCUGCUAAGUCCUUUUCAGGCAAGAUGACAUUCUCCAUGAUGUUUUCAGGGGUGAUGUCUGAUUGUUCUGGUUGAGGCUUUGUUUCCUUAACCUGGUAUUCUUCUAUCACCAUCUUAGACAUGGGUUUGAGUUCUCCAUGUAGUUCUAGAUUCUAUUUUGCAAAAAAUAAACCAAAAUAAUGCAGAUAGUUUUACUUUCCAUAUGACAACAUAAGUGUUCAUGAUAGAGUGAUAUGUCAAUAUGCAUUAACAUCAAAAAUCUUGAAAAUUUUCUAACCUCUGUACUUGAAGUUUCAUUAGCUAUAACUUCAUGUUCUUUCUCUCCAUUGUUUUCAUCUGUAUACUCGGUUGUUGCUGAGACAAUGCUCUCUUCUUUCACUUUUGAGUCUUCUGAAUCAACAACUACUUCAGGGGUUUGUACAUCACAAACAGAUUCAAGAGCCUGUUUGGGUGACUCAUCGAUUUCUAAUGGAUCUGAAUACGAUAUCUGCUUAAAAAAAUUCAUGUUAACACAUAUUCAUACAGCAUGAACAAAAUACUAUUCUCAUCUUUCUGUUAAUAGACUAACCACAGGUGCCUUUUGAUCUUCUGUUGAUUUCUCUUGUAGCUCUGUGGAAUUACUAUAUUCCUCAACAAUCUGUUCUUUGAGGUCAUCUGUUCCCUUUUCCUUUUGUGUCUCUAAAGGUACCUGUUCAAUCUAUAUAACAUUCAUGUAAGCAGACCCCUUUGAUGACUUGAUAGAUAAGCAAGUGGUUAUAUAUUUAUCGUAUUCACCUCUUUAGUCAAGAUGACAUCCUUUGAUAUCUCACUGCAGUCUUCGGUGCUAUUAAGCUGAUUUUCUUGUGUAACAUCCUCUUUUUCAUACAGUGAUUUGUUUUCACCAAUUUCUGUUGUCUGCAACCAUUAGUGUCAAAGUAUGUCAAUAAAGCACAGAAGAAAUGCAAGAAAAAGAUGAUGUGAACUGUAGGGACGUUUUUCUGUCUGACCUCUGCACUUGAAACUUCUUUUGUUUCUGUUUCUUUUUCUUCAUCCACAUGCGUUGCUGUUGUAAGACACUCUUCUUUCAUGUUUGAAUCUUCUGACUCGAGCCCCACUCCAGGGAUUUGUACCUCAGAAACAGUUUCAAGAUCUUCAAGGAAGAUCUCUUUAGUCAUUUCUGUCUGCUCCUGCCUUUCAUCAGUAUUGACCACUGUGGUAGCAUGUUGUCCGAUUGUUGUUUCUUUUAUAUCCUCACUGGAUGCAUUUUGUGAGCUUGUAACAUCAUCUUCACCAUCUUGGACUUCUUCUGACAUUUUGAGGUCUUUUUCUUUUGCUUGAUUUUCCUCUUUGCUCACUGUUUCAUCCUCAUUCAAUUCAGAUUCAACCUUCUCUAAUCCUGUCACUUCAUGGACUUCCUUAACCAGGGAGCUUUCAGACUUUUCUGUUUGACCAUCAUCAUUGACUACAUCCUCCUUUUUUUCUAUGGUUUCGACACUAGAUUUGAUUUCUUCAGUGUCUUCCUCUAUACUUUCUCUAGUUUCAAAAAACUCAGGUUCUUUACCUUCUUCUUGGUAGUUCUUUUUUUGCAAGUCUUCUUCUAAUGCUGCAACCUGUGAGGUUGUUACAUUGUCCUCACCUUGACCUUCUGCCGACAUGUUGACCUGAUCCUUUUCUUGAUCUUCAUCUUUAAAAGUUUCUAUUGCUUUUAUCCCUUCUUCAGAUUCAACCUUUUCCGAACUAGUCUCAUCACAUACCUCUUUGACAGAGUGGAUAGGAGGCGUUUCCAUUUGAUCAUCAUCAUGCUCAAUAGGCUCUUUGUUUUUUUCUUCAGUUUCUGUUUUCUCUUCUUGAGAUUCCACUUGUGCUGAUGUGAAAACAUCAGUUGUGAUGGCAUGUGGCAACUCUCCUUGCUCCACUUUUUCUUUUGUUUUAACAUUUGUGCUUAUAAGUUCAUUAUCUUCCUCCAUGCUUUCUCUAGUUUCAAAAAAUACAUCCUCAGAGGCUGCAACUGUAUCCUGUGAGCAUAUAACUUCAUCCUCACUUUGGUCUUUUUCUGGUAUGUUGAGCUCUUGUUCCUUUUCUUGAUAUUCAUCUUUGCUUAAAAUUUCUAUUUCUUUCUCAUUCUGAUACAUAUCGGAAUUUAUCCCUUCUUCAGAUACAGUCUUCUUUAAGUCAGUCUCUUCACAUACUUCCUGUUGCUCCUUUUCAUCUGUUUCAACACUUGGUUUGAUUUCUUCAGUAUACAUCUCUUGCUCAAAAAUUAUGCUGGCACUUUCUUCUAUUUUAUCUUUUGCUCCAUUAUCAUCAUACUGCUCGCUUGCCUAUAUGAAGAGUGUAUUUUGAGUACAUGGGCAGAAUGGACAAUACAGAACUUGGUAAGUCUAAUGUAUAGUCAAAGUUUGUAAAACAAUCUGUGUAACAGCUUAGUUUAUUGGUCUCUUUUUCAAAAGAAAAUUAUGAGCAGCAUUUGCUCUAAAGUCUAAACUACUUUAUAAAACGGGUUUCCCUUAGAAUUUAUCAUUUUCAUAAAUAUCCACAACUUGCUUUUCUUCUAGUUCUAUACCCCUCCCCAAUUGUACUGUUCAAUUGAAUAAAUCAAGUUCUGUAUUUGAAGUUACACUUAAUAUGCUCUAUAAAAUAUGUAUUUUAUCUUGUUUAGGGCCCUUAAAAUGGUCUAAUAUAUAUAUAUNNNNNNNNNNNNNNNNNNNUAUAUAUAUAUAUAUAUAUAUAUAUAUUUGUAAGAGAUACUUGAACUACCGAGUUGAACAACUUAUGCAUUUGUUACUUUCUCAAACACAUGAGAUGAGAAAUUUUGUAGCAGACAACAUAAUGUCUUGAUAAUUUUAGCAUUGCAAGUUUAGUUGGAAUGAUGUACAAGUAAAACCUUUUGAAAUAAUUAGAGAUUACUUAAGAUGAACAUAAAUUACCUCUUGAGCAUGAAUUGAUUUGUCUUCUAUUUCUUCCUUGAGGAUCUCUUUGGUCAAUGCACUAUCAUCUUUGCUCUCCUCAAAAUCAACCACUGUGGUAACAUGUUGACCAAUUGUUGACUCUUGUAUAUCCUCACACGUUGCAUCUUCUGAACUUGUAACGGCAUCCCCACCACCUUGGACUUCUUCUGGCAUUUUGAGUUCAUGUUCCUUUUCUUGAUUUUCCUCUUUGCUCACUAUCUCAUUCUCAUUCAAUUCAGGUUUAGCCUUCUCUGAUCCUGUCACUUCACACACCUCCUUAACCAAUGGGCUUUCAAACUCAUCAUUGACUAUAGCAUCUUCCUCAAUCUUUUCUUCAUUUUCCAUAGUUUCUUUUUUAGGUUCUAUUUCUGUUGAGCUGCAAACAUCAGUAGUAAUGACAUGCAGCAACCCUUGUUGCUCCAUAUUUUCUUUUGUUUCUAUACUAGAUUCGAUUUCUUCAAUGUUUUCCUCUACACUUUCUCUCGUUUCAACAACUUCAGGUUCUUUACCUUCUUCUUGGUAGUUCUUUUCUUGCAAGUCUUCUUCUAAGGCUGCAACCUGUGAGCUUGUUACAUUAUCCUCGCCUUGACCUUCUGUUGACAUGUCAACCUGAUCCUUUUCUUGUUCUUCAUCCUUGAAAGUUUCAAUAGCUUUUACCUCUUGUUCAGAUUCAACCUUUUUUGAGCUAGUCUCAUCGCAUACCUCCUUGGUAGUCUCUUCAUAAACCUCCUUCAUAGACUCUUCAUUCUUUUGUUCAGUUUCCGUGGUCUCUUCUUGAGAUUCUGUUUGUGCUGAUAUGCAAGCUACCUCUUGAGCAUCACUUGGUUUUUCCUCUGUUUCUUCCAUAAGGAUCUCUUUAGGCAUUAAACCUAUCGCUUGUCCCUCCUCUAAAUAGGCCACUGUAGUGUCCUGUUGACCAACUGUUGUUUCUUUUAUAUCCUCACACGUUGCAUCUUUUGAACUUGUAGUUGUAACAUCAUCCCCUAAACCUUUUCCUGACACAUAAACCUCUUGUUCCUUUUCUUCAUCUUCAACUUUGUUCACUAUUUCUUUCUCAUUUGUUGUUUCUUUUACCUCUUCGCUAUAUUCAACUUUCUCUGAACUGGUCUCUUCACAUACUUCAUUGACUGGGGAGCUGUCAACAUUUUCCUUUUGACCAUUAUCACUCUGAAUAGGCUCGUCACUUUUUACUUCAUGUUCUUCACUUUCUACCUGAGAUUUUGUUUGUGAUGUGAUGCAAUCAUCAUGCAACAGUUCUUGCUGCUUGGUUUCAACACUUGGUUUGAUUUCUUUAGUAUCUUCCUCUUGCUCAAUCUCUGAACAAGAUUGAACAGUUUUGUUGUCGCUUUCAUCAGGCUUUUGUUCUGUUUUGUCCUAUUAGAGAAAAAGUAUUCAGUUAGAUAUGAUGAUUUAUAUAAAUAGGCUCAAAGUUUUUAAAAACAAUCUCUGUGGUAGGUUUUUUUCAUUGUUCUUUUUUAAGAUAAUUGUGAGUGACAGUUGUUCUUUAUAACAUUAACAUGAUUCUACAUUGCUUAGUAAUAAAACAUUAAAAGUUUUAGUAGGAAAGAUAUACAAGUAAAACCUUUUGGAUUGUUCAGAGUUAACAUGGGAUGAACACGAAUUACCUCUUGAGCAUCAAUUGCACUCUGAUUCGGCUCCUCGAACUCGAUAUCAGCCACUGGGGUAGCCUUUUGACCAAUUAUUGUUUCUUUUAUAUCCUCGCUGGAUGCAUUCUGUGAGCUUGUAACAUCAUCUCCACCACCUUGGACUUCUUUUGACAUUUUAAUCUCUUGUUCCUUUUCUUGAUUUUCCUCAUUGUUCACUAUUUCAUUCUCAUUCAAUUCAGAUUCAGCCUUCUCUGAGCUUGUUGCUUCACAUACUUCCUUCACCAAGGGGCUUUCAGACUUAUCUGUUUGACCAUCAUCAUUCACCAAUGCCUCUUCAUCAAUCUUUAUAUCAUCUUUUGUUUCGGCACUAGAUUUGAUUUCUUCAGUAUCUUCCUCUAAAUACUCUCUAGGUUUGACAAAUUCGGGUUCCUUACCUUCAUCAUCAUAUUUUGUUUCUGGUAAGUCCUGUAUAGAAGUUGCAUCUUGUGAGAAAGUGACAUCAUCUUUUCCUUGGUCUUCUUCUGAAAUGAUGGACUCUUGUUCUUGUUCUUGUUCUUUUUCUUUUUCUUGAUGUUCAUCUUUGUCAGAAGGUUCUACCCCUUCAAAUUUACCCUUCUCUAAGUGAGUUUCUUCACAUACUUCAGUCACAUCUUCAUCGUCUGUAAUCUUUACCUGCUCCUUUUCAUCUGUUUCCACACUUGGCUUGAUUUCUUCAGCAUUUUCAUUUUUGUUGACACUUUCCUCGGGCUUUUGUUCUAUUUUUUCAUUUGCUCCACUCUCAUCCUGCUCACUUGCCUAUAUGAACACAAGUAUUUUGAGUACAUGUGGAGAAUAAAAGUAACACAUCAUGAUAAGUCUAAUGCAUAGUCAAACUUUUAAAACAAUCUUUGUGGCAGCUUCAAAAAAAUUUGUGAGCCAAAUUUGCUAUAAACUACUUUAUAGAAUGGUUUUCUCUAAACAUUUAUCGUUUUAUGAACUCUAACUCUUCUCAACAAAUGAAACUAAACGUUUGGAUGAGACAAGCAUUUGACAUUAAAAUUAUGUAUGAAAAUCAUAAUAUUGUCUUAUACUUUUAUAAAUUAAACAUAAAACUAGUAAGAAUUAGCCUUAACAUUUAACAAUACAUUAGUAUAAUAUGUGAUUUUUAGUUUCUCUUACACAUGAGAUAAGAAAAUAUGUAGCAGACAACAACAUUUCCAUAUGUCAUAAUGAUUAUAGCAUUUCAAAUUCUAGUAAGACUGAUCUACAAUUAAAACUGUAAAACCUUUUAGGAAUAGUUAGGUUUACUUAGAAUGAACAUGAAUUACCUCUUGCACAUCAGUUGAUUUGUCCUCUGCUUCUUCCUUAAGGAUCUCCUUAGGCGUUGAGUUUAGAGCCUGUUCCUCCUCUAAAUAGGCCACUGUAGUAACAUGCUCACCAGUUGUUGUUUCUUUUAUAUCCUCAAAUGUUGCAUCUUGUGAACUUGUAACAUCAUCCCCUAAACCUUUUCCUGACACAUAAACCUCUUGUUCCUUUUCUUCAUCUUCAACUUUGCUUGCUAUUUCGUUUUCAUUCAGAUCGAUAUUAACACUGUCAGAAAGUUUUAACCCUUCUUCAGAUUCAACCUUCUCUGAGACAGUCUCUUCACAUACUUCCUUCACCAUGGUCUCUGUAUUAGAACUAUCAGAGUAGUUCACCUCUUCUUUAUAUUCAAUUUUCUCUGAACUAGCCUCUUCACAUACUUCAACACUUGGUUUGGUUUCUUCAGUAUCUUUCUCUUGCUCAAUUUCUGAACCAGACUGUACAAUUUUGUUGUCACUUUCUGCAGACUUUUGUUCUUUUUUGUCCUAUUAGAGAAGAAAUAUUCAGUAUAUUAUACGACUGAAAGAAAAGAAAUGAUGAUUUAUAUAAACAGGCUUAAAGUUUUUAAAAACAAUCUUAAGGGUAGGUUUUUUUCAUUGUUAUUCUAUAAAAUAAAUGUGAGCGACAGUUGUACUUUAUAACAUGAAUCUACAUUGGUUAGUGAUAAAAAAAAGCAUUUCAAGUUUUAGUUGGAAUGAUGUACAAGUAAAACCUUUUGGAUUGUUUAGGAGUUAACAUGGUAUGAACAUGAUUUACCUCUUGAACAUCAAUCACACUCUGAUUCUGCUCCUCGAACUCGAUAUUAGCCACUGGGGUAGCCUGUUGACCAAUUGUUGUUUCUUUUAUAUCCUCACUGGAUGCAUUCUGUGAUCUUGUAACAUCAUCUCCACCACCUUGGACUUCUUCUGACAUUUUAAGCUCUUGUUCCUUUUCUUGAUUUUCCUCUUUGCUCACUAUUUCGUUCUCAUUCAAUUCAGAUUCAGCCUUCUCUGAGGUUGUCGCAUCAUAUACUUCCUUCACCAAGGGGCUUUCAGACUUCUUUGUUUGAUCAUCAUCAUUCACUAAUGCCUCUUCAUCAAUCUUUAUAUCAUCUUUUGUAUCAGCACUAGAUUUGAUUUCUUGAGUAUCUUCGUCUAUAUUCUCUCUAGGUUUGACAAAUACAGGUAAGUUCUCUAUAGUGGUUGCAUCUUGUGAGCAUGUGAUAUCAUCUUUUCCUUGGUCUUCUUCUGAAAUGAUGGACUCUUGUUCUUUUUCUUUUUCUUGAUCUUUAUCAUUGUCAGAAGGUUCUACCCCUUCAAAAUUUCCCUUCUCUAAUUGAGUUUCUGCACAUACUUCAAUCACAUCUUCUUCAUAGUCUGUAAUCUUCACUUGUUCCUUUUCAUCUAUUUCCACACUUGGCUUGAUUUCUUCGGUAUCUUCAAUUUUGUUGACAAUUUCCUCGGGAUUUUGUUCUAUUUUUUCGUUUGCUCCACUCUC
rnacentral:lncRNA from 1 species